UACGUAGGGUGCAAGCGUUGUCCGGAAUUAUUGGGCGUAAAGAUCUCGUAGGCGGUCUGUCGCGUCGGCUGUGAAAACCCGGGGCUUAACCCCGAGCCUGCAGUGGAUACGGGCAGACUAGAGGUAGGUAGGGGAGAAUGGAAUUCCCGGUGUAGCGGUGAAAUGCGCAGAUAUCGGGAGGAACACCGGUGGCGAAGGCGGUUCUCUGGGCCUUACCUGACGCUGAGGAGCGAAAGCGUGGGGAGCGAACAGG
rnacentral:rRNA from 1 species